rnacentral:rRNA from 1 species
GACGAACGCUGGCGGCGUGCUUAACACAUGCAAGUCGAACGGAAAGGCCCUGCUUUUGUGGGUUGCUCGAGUGGCGAACGGGUGAGUAACACGUGAGUAACCUGCCCUUGACUUUGGGAUAACUUCAGGAAACUGGGGCUAAUACCGGAUAGGAGCUCCUGCUGCAUGGUGGGGGUUGGAAAGUUUCGGCGGUUGGGGAUGGACUCGCGGCUUAUCAGCUUGUUGGUGGGGUAGUGGCUUACCAAGGCUUUGACGGGUAGCCGGCCUGAGAGGGUGACCGGGCACAAUGGGACUGAGAUACGGCCCAGACUCCUACGGGAGGCAGCAGUGGGGAAUAUUGCACAAUGGGCGGAAGCCUGAUGCAGCAACGCCGCGUGCGGGAUGACGGCCUUCGGGUUGUAAACCGCUUUCGCAUGUGACGAAGCGUGAGUGACGGUAAUGGGUAAAGAAGCACCGGCUAACUACGUG